GGGAAGGAAUCAAUGAUAUGAAACAGGUUGCUAAACCAGGUGGACUGGUGGUUAUUUUGAUGCGGAAGGAGUGCUUGUUGACAGCUGAAGAAUACAAAGACAAACUGGAAGCUCAUAUGGACCAUUUGCAGAAAACAAAUGUUUGGCAAAAGGAAGUGAAGAAGACUGUGGCAAACUACUUCUGUGGUAAAGAAGGAACGGUGUUUAUCUACCGUGUACUGUGAGCAACUCGCUUCCUCAUCCCUUCCCUCUGCACUGUAAUUCAUAGAUUUAGGCAACAGUUCUCUUUGAUUUAGAAUUAUUUGAUUUUACUGCAAAAGAACCACCACGAUGGAAUUCAGGAUUGAAACUACUGGUGCUCAUGAUGUCUUAAAAUUAAUCUACUUUCUGUCUGUUAGGUAAGACACAUAUGCAACAGUUAGGUAUCUUUAUUUCGAAACGUUUCGCCUACACAGUAGGCUUCUUCAGUCGAGUACAGAAAAGUUGAUAGAAGCAGAAAAUACUUGAAGACGAUGUAAUCAGUCCAUCACCCUUAAAGUUUUGAGGUGGUCAGUCCCUCAGUCUGGAGAAGAGCAUUGUUCCAUAGUCUGAAACAACAACUCUAAAGACGGAAUCUGAGUACAACCUUCCCCUGAAGGCCAAGUUAUAGAUAAUAUGAAACACUUCUACUGAUGUAUACCAGCUGGCUCACGCCACACUGUUAGAUCAGAUGGUGUAAGGCAUUCCACACUACCUUGCCAGCUUUUUCAUUAACAUCAAUAGGCUCUAACAUUCAGGUAAACCUUUUCGUAAUUCAUGUAAUAACUAGUGCACAGCUUCGGGUUCACUAGAGACACUAGAAUGUUGGAAAGAAUUACAGCUCUUACUUGAAGAAUUCAAACCACCCAGUCAUGAUACUCUUAUGCCCAAAAUAUAUUUUAUAAGUUCUGAGUCAGGUGGUAACUCCUGGGAAGAUUUUGUACCUCAGUCGUGACUGCACAAGUCUCAUCACACAGCUUUUAAAAUAUAUUAGUAUUCCUUUUCUUUAGCAUCUACAGAAAACGAGUUUAAGUGUAUUUGGAGGAACCUGAUGUGA